CAGUCGCCGCGGUAAUACAGAGGGUGCGAGCGUUAAUCGGAUUUACUGGGCGUAAAGCGUGCGUAGGCGGCUUCUUAAGUCGGAUGUGAAAUCCCUGAGCUUAACUUAGGAAUUGCAUUCGAUACUGGGAAGCUAGAGUAUGGGAGAGGAUGGUAGAAUUCCAGGUGUAGCGGUGAAAUGCGUAGAGAUCUGGAGGAAUACCGAUGGCGAAGGCAGCCAUCUGGCCUAAUACUGACACUGAGGUGCGAAAGCGUGGGGAGCAAACAGGAUUAGAUACCCCCGUAGUCCCUGUCUCUUAUAC
rnacentral:rRNA from 1 species